rnacentral:misc_RNA from 1 species
GAUGAAGAACGUAGCGAAAUGCGAUAAGUAAUGUGAAUUGCAGAAUUCAGUGAAUCAUCGAAUCUUUGAACGCACAUUGCGCCCCUUGGUAUUCCGAGGGGCAUGCCUGUUCGAGCGUCAUAUUAACCACUCCCGCUUGCGGGGUCUUGGGCUUCGCCUCCGGGCGGGCCUUAAAAUCAGUGGCGGUGCCGUCGGGCUCUACGCGUAGUAAAUUUUCUCGCUAUAGGGUCCCGGUGGAUGCUUGCCAACAACCCCCAACUUCUUAAGGUUGACCUCGGAUCAGGUAGGGAUACCCGCUGAACUUAAGCAUAUCAAUAAGCGGAGGA